rnacentral:rRNA from 1 species
UACGUAGGGUGCAAGCGUUAAUCGGAAUUACUGGGCGUAAAGCGUGCGCAGGCGGUUAUGCAAGACAGAUGUGAAAUCCCCGGGCUCAACCUGGGAACUGCAUUUGUGACUGCAUAGCUAGAGUACGGUAGAGGGGGAUGGAAUUCCGCGUGUAGCAGUGAAAUGCGUAGAUAUGCGGAGGAACACCGAUGGCGAAGGCAAUCCCCUGGACCUGUACUGACGUUCAUGCACGAAAGCGUGGGGAGCAAACAGG